rnacentral:rRNA from 1 species
GGGAAGUAAAAGUCGUAACAAGGUCUCCGUUGGUGAACCAGCGGAGGGAUCAUUACCGAGUUAUACAACUCCCAAACCCACUGUGAACCUUACCUCAGUUGCCUCGGCGGGAACGCCCCGGCCGCCUGCCCCCGCGCCGGCGCCGGACCCAGGCGCCCGCCGCAGGGACCCCAAACUCUCUUGCAUUACGCCCAGCGGGCGGAAUUUCUUCUCUGAGUUGCACAAGCAAAAACAAAUGAAUCAAAACUUUCAACAACGGAUCUCUUGGUUCUGGCAUCGAUGAAGAACGCAGCGAAAUGCGAUAAGUAAUGUGAAUUGCAGAAUUCAGUGAAUCAUCGAAUCUUUGAACGCACAUUGCGCCCGCCAGCAUUCUGGCGGGCAUGCCUGUUCGAGCGUCAUUUCAACCCUCGAGCCCCCCCGGGGGCCUCGGUGUUGGGGGACGGCACACCAGCCGCCCCCGAAAUGCAGUGGCGACCCCGCCGCAGCCUCCCCUGCGUAGUAGCACACACCUCGCACCGGAGCGCGGAGGCGGUCACGCCGUAAAACGCCCAACUUUCUUAGAGUUGACCUCGGAUCAGGUAGGAAUACCCGCUGAACUUAAGCAUAUCAAUAAGCGG